AGGGGGGGGAGCAAACCAGGAUUAGAAUACCUUGGUAGUCCGNGCGUUAACGAGGUCUNCUUGGAGGUUGUGGCCCUUGAGCNGUGGCUUUNGGAGCUAACGCGUUAAGUAGACCGCCUGGGGGAGUGCGGUCGCAAGAUUAAAACUCAAAUGAAUUGACGGGGGGCCCGCACAAGCGGUGGAGCAUGUGGUUUAAUUCGAUGCAACGCGAAGAACCUUACCUACUCUUGACAUCUACAGAAGCCAGCGGAGACGCAGGUGUGCCUUCGGGAACUGUAAGACAGGUGCUGCAUGGCUGUCGUCAGCUCGUGUUGUGAAAUGUUGGGUUAAGUCCCGCAACGAGCGCAACCCUUAUCCUUGUUUGCCAGCACAAAAAAGUGGGAACUCCAGGGAGACUGCCGGUGAUAAACCGGAGGAAGGUGGGGACGACGUCAAGUCAUCAUGGCCCUUACGAGUAGGGCUACACACGUGCUACAAUGGCGCAUACAGAGGGCGGCCAACUUGCGAAAGUGAGCGAAUCCCAAAAAGUGCGUCGUAGUCCGGAUUGGAGUCUGCAACUCGACUCCAUGAAGUCGGAAUCGCUAGUAAUCGUGGAUCAGAAUGCCACGGUGAAUACGUUCCCGGGCCUUGUACACACCGCCCGUCACACCAUGGGAGUGGGCUGCAAAAGAAGUGGGUAGUUUAACNNUCGGGAGGACGCUCACCACUUUGUGGUUCAUGNNUNGNNNNAGUCGUAACAAGGUAACCG
rnacentral:rRNA from 1 species